CUUGUAUCAUAUUGAUAUAAAAAUUCAAAGAUUAGGAAAAUCUGUUCCAUUCAUUGUUAUUAACAGCAUAAAGUGCAUCAAACAUUACAUUACGUAAUAAAAGUUUCCCCAACUGGGCUUCCAUGGUUUAACGAAAAGCUAAUAAUUAAUUAAAUCAUGAUAUAUUUAAAUAAACCAUUUAAAAAGCAAUCAAAAUAAAUAAAAAAUAAUAUUUUAUUUGUUUACCUGCAUGUCAUGUGACCAUAACCAACAACGUGAACAUGCAAAGUUGAUAGUUUAUUAUUAAAAUAUUUAUUUUUAAGUCUCAGGGGUAAUUCAAGUAAAUAUAGUAAGUGAAAGAUGACCAAAAAAGUUUGGGAAAUUGCGGAUUUUAAUGUGUUUGAAAGAUAAAAGCCUUCCAAAGCUAUAGUAAUGGUUUCAUAAUCGGUGCUAGCAUCACUAAAUCAAGACACCUCACUUGCUGUGAGAAGCCCCCUUGAUAGUAAACAUACUUUGGCGUAGACGUCCUCGUGAUGACCUCAGUGCACGCGCGCGGAGGGACGGAGGAGCCGUGCGCGCUCCCGACCCGCACUGUCUGCGAGAGAGAAGCGGCGUCCUCAAAACUUCUCCCAGACGGAUACUUCAUGACAUAAACCAGCGUAGUCGUGAAGGGAUUCCUGGAGUCAAGUCAUGUUUAAGGCCGUGCUGAAGAAGAGCAGAGAGAGCGGGAAAAACAGGAAGGAUGCAGAAUUCCUCAGACACAAAAUAGACUUGAUUAUGGACGCUCCUUUCCACCACAGAAUAAGAAAAUAUGAAAGGUAUUUGCAACUUUAUAUCUCACAGUUAAGACUUUGUUUCUCAGAAUUCUGAGACAUAAACUCUUUUUUUUUCAUGCAAUUCUGAGUUUACAUCCCACAAUUUCUUUUUUUGCCAUGGAAUAAAAAAUCAAAAAGGUAAUUGUGACUUUUUAUCUCCCAGUUCUGACUCUUUUCUCACAAGAAUAUUCUAUGUUAUUUUUCAUUUAAUUAUUCGAUUUCUGUACCUGAACACACACACACCUAAGAACAUAAAGCACUGUGAGCUCUGUUCUAUUUAUUUAUUUGUGCUAUUGCUUGUCAUUUGUUCAAUUGUUCUUAUUUACUGACUGUUCACUUGUCUUUAACUCUUUCCCUGCCAGCAUUUUGGAAAAAAGUUGCCAGCCACCGCCAGCAAUUUUGAUGAUUUUCACAAAAAUUUUAUGGCCUACAGUAUAUUUUGUUGUAUGAAUAUUUGAAUAUGCAAUACACCAAAAUAAAGAUCAAAGCCUCUACUUUUAAAAUGUUUUAUUCUAGCUUAAAACAUUCUUUUUAUCAACACUUGAAUACAGGUAGGUUUCAUAAAAGUUUAUCAUUUUGAGCAAAAACUACAUCUGGAUAAUAUUCAGUAUGAUUAUCAAAGCAUAAAUCCAGUAAAUUGCUUCCAUCAACACCUCCAAAGCUUGCACAGACAUAUACCUCUUCCUGGAUCGUUUUACUGCGUAACAUUAUGCAGUUUUCAUUUAUAUGCUGUCUAUUGCUGAUGAUCGCAUUAUUUAUCAUAUGCAUCUGUUUACAUAAGAGAUCGCUAGUUUUUCCGUCCUGUUCACGUGUGUUUUUGUACUCGUUCAGAAGAUGUGGAAUAGCGCCCCCGAGUGUAUAACAGUGAAAACACGGAAAGCAGUAAGAACUUUGGCGGGAAGUGUUGUCUUCUUAAUGAUGAGAUAACUCGUCAGUGGCGGGGAAAGAGUU
rnacentral:lncRNA from 12 species